UGGUGAGUAGCGUAGUUGGUUAGCGCAAUCGGCUGUUAACCGAUGGGUCGUGGGUUCAAGUCCCACCUCGCCAGCCA
rnacentral:tRNA from 1 species